GGAGAGGUGGCCGAGCGGCUUAAGGCGGCACCCUGCUAAGGUGUUGGGGGUUUACGCCCCUCGUGGGUUCGAAUCCCACCCUCUCCG
rnacentral:tRNA from 1 species